GUAGUUGGAUUCGGGCCCAGGUGACCGGUCCGCCGUUUCGGUGUGCAUGGUUAGCUCGGUCUUUCUGCCGGGGACGCGCUCCGUUUGAUUGCCGGACGCGGAGUCGGCGAUGUUACUUUGAAAAAAUUAGAGUGUUCAAAGCAGGCUUAUGCCCUGAAUACUAUAGCAUGGAAUAACACGAUAGGACUCCGAGCCUAUUUUGUUGGUCUUCGGGACCGGAGUAAUGAUUAAGAGGGACAGUUGGGGGCAUUCGUAUUACGGUGUCAGAGGUGAAAUUCUUGGAUUUCCGUAAGACGAACUUCUGCGAAAGCAUUUGCCAAGGAUGUUUUCAUUAAUCAAGAACGAAAGUUGGGGGCUCGAAGAUGAUUUUUUUACCGUCGUAGUCUCAACCAUAAACGAUGCCGACUAGGGAUUGGAGGAUGUUAAUUUCUAUGGACU
rnacentral:rRNA from 1 species